ensembl:lncRNA
AGGGCGGGGCUUCUUUGGCCGGGGCGUGAGCGGUUGCUUAGGCCAGAAGGUUCUCUGGUGGAGACGCUCCUCCUGCUGCCCCGCCCAGUAGGUUCGUUCGCACCGCUUCUUCCACACCCUAUCUCCCUCCUCCUCCUCCUCGCCCCGCCUUUCCCCUCCCUUCUCCUCAGCCCCUUUAGUUUCUUCCCCGCCUCGCCACCUUCCACGAUCUCGCGAGACUUGGCCCAGAACAUUGCGGAUCGGGUCGGCGCCAUUUUGGGACUGAGACUGGUUGUGGGGGAGGGAAAAGCGGCAAAAGGGGAUUAUUCAAAGUACCGAAAACCUCCUCCCGGGAUCGAGCGCAGCGGCACCCCAAGGCCAGGGGCACCUCUGGUGUGGCAGAAGGAAAUGGGAACCCUCACAUCUCGUGGCUGCCGGGUGAUUGAAUUACUCAGAUAUGAAGAUCAUCUUCUAGGUUUUGUGUAAAAGGCCCCGGAUAUUUCAAGUGGCCAUUUUGGAAUUACAAUGUUUUUGGAUAAUUUUAUCCCAGAAGUUUAUUAAAAUUGGCAAGAAUCAUCUCUGAAGUGAAUUGAUAGUAGUGAACAAUUCUGCAAGCUACUUAAAAAGAGAUCCAGGCAUUUCUUCAGUAUUUUGGUUCAAACGGAUUAUAUAACUGGUUUAAAGUGUUUCAGCUGGUGGUAUUUUUGCCUCCCCCCAACCCCUCCCCUGUGUUCUUCAGCCAAAACUGUAAGAUAUGUUUGAUUUGUGUACUGAGUAGUUUCGGCAGUUUCGAAUUACUGUUUAAAUAUUGCUGAAGUUUCAUGGCAGUUUAUUUUUACCUUUAUUAAAAGUUUUAGGAAUUUUUGAUCUCAGUCCUUUUCAUGUCACAAUGGGACAGCUUUUCUAAAUGAAGACAUUGAAUGAAUACAGUUUUUUUGCUUUUAUCUUUUAUUUACGUGGAAAUUUAAGAUGUGGCAGUUUCACAGCAGCAUGGUAGUAUUGAGAUAGCUGUGUCUUGUUUAUGCUGAUGUUUAGGAAUGCUCUUCAGAUGUGAAAUUUUCUUUUUGUUUUUUCUUUUUGACUCAUAAAUUGGAUUAUUUCAUCUGGAGUGGAUAACAGUGACAAGUACAUGGAAUAAUAAAGAAGACUUUAAAAUCUUAAAAUCCAAGGAACUUGGCUAAUUCUGGCGAUAGCCAUAUGAAAACUUUAAAACAGAAGUAUGGGUAGCUGACUGAAGUAACUCUAUGUCAAAUAGCCAUAGGUUAAGUGUCUUCAAAGAACUUGGAUAUUAUUUCAGAGGAUACAAAAUAAAAAAACAAACUGGAAAACAUAAAGAUUACAGAGACAAAGCCAACACCUUCCUGUGCAGUCCUGUUGGAAUUUGUAAGUACUAUAUGGUGAGCAAAUCAAAUGUUCAUUUGUAAACUGUAAUGAGUCAACUUUAUCCUAUGUUGUUAUUUGGAAGCCUUUCAGUUUCUUGCAGUAAGAUUCUUUGGCUUCAGUUUCCUGGGCAGUCUGAAAAGAACUGUUAGAUAAAUUGAAAUGUGGAAAGAAUUGUUAAGAAUAUUUCAGAUGAAACUGUUCACAUUUGAAGUUUUUGUGCUUCUGAAAUAGACAAAUCCAUACGGUCAGUAUGGCUUUAUGGAUUAAUAGAAAGGUAGGAAAAAACUCAACAAAUAGCCAAUUUACUUCCUAAAUAUGAGUUUAGAUUACAUUUUGAAUGCAGUUUAGUGUUCCAGUGUAGAAUUAGGUAGUUGUUUAAACAAAUUACAGGGCUUGACUUUUAAUCUGGUCUUUCAUGAAGUAAAUUGUUUUAAGGGAUAACAAUUCCUAUCCAUUAUAGAAACUUUUUGAAACAAAUUUUGAAGUGGCUUUGUAUUUCAGAUUGUUCCUUAAGUUCCAGAAAGUUUCAAAAAGUCGUUACUACGAAUAGAAACAGAGGAAGAGAAGGUACACUAAGAACCUUUAACUUAAAAAAAAAAAAAAAAAAAAGUAUACAUUUUCUGCCUCCAGAAGGUAAUGUUGCCUUAAGUUAUAAAGAAAUGUUGGUUAAAAAAAAGGNNNNNNNNNNNNNNNNNNNNNNNNNNNNNNNNNNNNNNNNNNNNNNNNNNNNNNNNNNNNNNNNNNNNNNNNNNNNNNNNNNNNNNNNNNNNNNNNNNNAUUUUGGUUAAAAAAAAGGUUGUGAAUAUUAAUUGCUGUAAUAAAAAUCCUUUAACAAAAGAGUAUCAUCUUUUAAUUGUUUAUUUGAGGAUUGACUGGUAUUAUGAUUUGUUACUGCAUUUAAUUUUUUUUUAGUGAGUCAUAGGCAUUCAGUAGAAGUGUUUGUUUUUAAAAAAUUGACUAAAAUUUAUUUUUGAAGCAGUUUAUAUUAACAGAUGAAUGUAGCUAAAGUUGAGUGUUAUUUUUUUUCACUUAAUUAUCUGAGAUUAAAAAAUACCGUAAUAUUUGCACACUUUGCCAGGAUAGCCUAAUAACUGGUCAUCUGGCUCAUUUAUUGUUUUGUUGUUAUGCUGUUGAGUCCUGUUAGCUCCCUUAAAGCAGGAGAGGUAGGAGAGUCCAAAAGAUGGUAGGUAUUUAAACAUACGGGGUAUUUUAUUUUCUGAUACAAAAUUGAGAUUAGAGUUAAAUAAAUCUGUCAGAAAAGGAUAGGAUAUUUCUUGUGUUCUCUCUCAGAGCUUUGUGUAGUACUUCUAAUUGAGUUUCCACCUUGAUUUAUAUAAACCUGUGAUGAGAACAACCCUCCUUCUGCCCUUUUCUUUGCUUCAGAGAGCCUGGAUUUUAUAUAUUCCUUAAACUUAGUGGGUUUUCAAGGUACUUAUCUAAGAACAUGCAUUUUGAAUGUGAUUAGGAAUUUGAACUGGAACUGAAUGGCCU